AUGGCAGGGAUGAACCUGCAUAGAAUCGCCUCUGCCCUUGUUCGAUUCAUUGGACGGGAGAUCCGUCGAUCUGCCAGACGCCACAGUGCUGGUGUUCCUCGCCAUUGGGGCCUAGGCAACGGCCGCCGUGGUCGCCGUGGUCGUCAGGAUCACCCUGGCCCCGCCACCGCAGAGCAGGCAGAACCAAGCAACCCAUCUGCCGCCGUCCACCACGCCUACCAGGCACCCCCCAUGCCGGCCUUCGUCGCUCCGCCAAUGGACUGGGCUCCCGCCGAGGCUGCAGCCCCGUUCCUGGGCGAGGAGGAGUUCUUCGACGCCGCCCAGGUCCCGCCACCGCCGGGGAUCUUCUUCGGCAAUGGCAUGGACGCAGGCGUGGCCUUCUGUCCGGUGCACGGAUACGGCCCUUGCCCUGCCCGCGAUUUCUGCCCCGUGCACGGGUACGGGCCGUGCCCUCCACCGCCGGCCACUCUACCACCGGAACCGGAGGUCAUCGAUGAGCCGCUUGCCUACCCAGACCUCCCAACGCCGACGCCCGCCGACGAAGACGAGGAGCACUUCGCCCCUCCAGGCUAUGGCCAUGUUCCCGCCAUGAUGGAGUGGGAGGUGACGCCGAACGAAGAGGAGGAGCAGUGGCUCAACUCCGUUGUGAAGCCGGAGCCAACCACACCAGCGGAGACCGACGAACCCUGCGCCACCAUCCCCGACCUCAACACUGCCACUGGCGUGAAGAUUGAGGAAGCGGCGUCGUCUUCCAAGGCCCCAGCAUCUCCGCCGCCUCCGCCCCCGGCAAGCCCGCAAACGCCUCCACCGGCGGCUCGCCGGAUCCUUCGCCGUUUCGCGGCGGCGCUGGAGCAGCACCGCCCCGGCCUCCGCUCCGGCUCCUGGGCCCCUGCAGGCCUCCACCUCCCCGGCUAUGCUGCGGGGGGCCCGUCCUCCUCCUGA
rnacentral:rRNA from 1 species